AUCUAAAAGGUCUUUGCCCAAGAAUUUUCCAUAUAAUAAUAAAUUUUAAUACAACAAAAUAAUAUAUUAUAUAUAUUAUACUGUAAUUUUAUAUGUUAUAAUAUUAUCCUUUUUUAAAAUAUAUAAAUUAUAUAAUAAAAAAAUUGGACAAUGAAAUGUAUUAUCUACCAUCCAUUUUAUUUAUAUAAAUAAAAGACAUACUUUUUUAAGGUAAUUCUUAAAUAUGUAAAAAUUAUUUUGGAAAUUGUAUCUGAUUAAAAAUUCAACUAAAGUGAACAUUUAAUUAGAAACUUUACUAAUCACCUAAUUAAAAUUUAUAUUUAAAAAAAAAAAAAAAUCAUUUUAUAUUAUGUGCACGGAUAUGAAUCUAGUUAUGACAUAAACUUUAAUAUAUAAUUUUCCUUUUUGGUCAGAUUACUUUAUGUGAAAAUAAGAGCUAUACGGGUUUGAAUUAAUGAGUAAACAAAAAAAAAAAUACUACUAAUAUUUUGAAUAUUAAAUUUAAUUAAAUCUAUAAAAUCUAUUGUCAAACAUAAUUUUUUAAAUGUAAUUAGAAGAAAAAUUAAAUGAAGUAAGAGACACCAUCCGUAGAUAUCUCCAAAUCAUUAGACUUGUGAAUAUCCAUAUUAUUGCUGCAAUUACUCAUGUCUUUCGUAGAUAUAAUCGUGCAGUUUUCAAACUCUAUUUGCAAAGAUUUCAACCACUAUGCAAGCCUUAACUUAAUAAUAAGACAUAUCCCCAUCUCAUUUCUAACCAAACAACAUAAAAGAGAACCUCAAUUACCUUCUUGCGGCCCUCUUGAUUGCUAAUGUUAGGCCGUGAAGCAAAAAAUUGGCUAAUAGUUUGAGGGCUAGCCUAAUGAAUUUUCCACCACCAUCAGCAAUAACUUUAGAUUUUCUAAGGCUAGACAUAGUUAAGGAUGAGAUGAUUGGCGGGCUCCCAUUUGCUUCGACAUAACAAUAAAGCAUUUGUAAAAUUCAAUUUAUACUUGUAUUUAUUAAGAUAAUCAAUCAACAAAAAAGACACCCUUCAUUAGUUGUCAAAUAAAGAUUAAAACCUUUAGAGGGGCUUUAGCAUGUCAAAUCAAACUCUCACUCUUUUAUAAGACUUAAUAAAAUAAAUAUAUAUAUAUUAUAAUUGUGUCAUUUCUAUAUCAAUUUGUCUCGUGUAAUUUUCUUUCCAAUCAAAUAUUCAUAUUUAAAAGUAAUAUUUUAGAUUUAGUAUUCAUCCUCCCAAAAAAUUAGAUUAUGGAUAAUAAUCUCUCUAUUCUUAGUUAAACAAAAAAAAAAAUUUAAGAAUAGUGACUUUAAUAGGGAUGUCACCAUACCACACAUCAUACCAAAAUUUAAUAUGUAUAUAUUUACUAAUUGUUCAAAUCAGACUUUCAAUAAGUCUUUACCAUUCUUAUUUCUCUGAAAAGUUGUCUUGAUAAUACAUUUUUAUACCCUAGAGGCAUAAUUUUCACUUAUCUUAAUCAUGAUAACACUUAUAUCUAUUCGCCACGACCAUCCAUAAUGCACUUCCAAACUCACUUGAACAAAACAAUAUUAUUCAUGGCUCUCAAAUUGAUAAGUCCUAAGCCCCCUCCCCUUAAAUAAACACAUAUUCUCAUAAUUGACCAUAUACGUUAUCUUAAUAUCAUUCACAGUUUAAAACACUCAUAAUUUUACUAAAAAUGAUGGGUUAGUACCUACACAUAUUUAGUACAGUCAAAUUACUUAAUAAUUUUCCUCUAAUCUCUAUCUGUAUAUAACAGAAACAGUACUAAUAUCUAUUUAUAUAUAACAAUAGUUGCUUACUCCUCUAUUAAUAUGUUAAAAAACUAUUGAUUAGUUCUAUACAUAUUUAUUACAAUCAAAUUACUUAUUCUUCCUCUAAUCUAUAUCUAUAUAUAACACAAAUUUAGUACUAAUCUCUAUUUAUAUAUAACAGAAAUUCAGUACUCAUAAAUUAUUAUAGAGGAUCAACAUUCUCAAUCUAUACAUACAAAAAUCAAUAAUGCUUAUAAUAGAUAACAAAGAAAAAAAGGCAUCGAAUUGAAUUUUGUUCAAACCACAACCUCACAAAUCUUCAAUGUUAUAGUUAUAUGCAUGUAUUAUAUUUUAUGAAUACAACCAAAGUAGAAAAUAAAUUUAUCGAACAUAUCGGAACAACUUCACAAUUUAAAAAAAAAAAAAAAAGGAUAGCCGUUUGUAUCAAAUCAGUUUUAGAAAAUAUUCAAGAAUGGUUUGUAAAUUCACAUAUUAUAUUUAAAUUUAUUUUAAAUCUUCUAGUUUAUUGAAAGUAAUACUUGUUAAAAUCAAUAAACACUUCAAAUUAUAUUAAUAUCAGGAAACAUAAUUAACAUAAUUGUUUCAAAUGGCAAGCUAAAUUAAAUUUCAGAAAAUAUUUUCAAGUAUAAUGAUUAUUUGAAGCACCAAAAUCAACUUGAAGAUUAUAAAAUUUUCUUUUUACUCAACUAUUUACAUAAAAUCAUGAAAUAGAAACACAGCUUAAUUCAAUAAAUUCUUUACUCAAAUGCUGUUAUAUAUAGUUUUAGACCUUGAAUUGUUAUAAAUUUUAACGAAGUAAAAUUUCGUUUGUCUAGACCUUGAAUAUCGUACAGAAUGUGGUAAAAAAAAAAGAUAAUUUUUUUUUUUUAAAAAAAAAAGAAACUCUGGAAAUAUAUAUAUAUAUAUAUCAUAUGAAAAAUAAUAAAUCAAAAUAUUAAUUAAUUAGUGGUGAAAAUUGAGAAUCUAAUCUGUUUUGAAAGGCAGGUGGGUCAUAAACACCAAAACUGGUCCCCUAACAGUAUGUGUCUACAAGGCAAAUUGCAACCAAAUUAAUUAAAACUCUUUUGUCCCUGUCUAUACACUCUCAAAAAGCUGUAUAUUAUAUGUGUGUGUGUGUCACUAUUAAAUUGACAUAUAUUUAAGUAUUUAUACAUAGAUUUAGAUUGAUAAGUUCUAGAGAGCUUCUAUUUUAUGCAUUCCCUUGAAAUUAUAUAGAGUUGUAUUUUUGCAAUUAUUUGCAUUGGGGUAUAUGUAUAUACAAUUUAUCGCUAUUAAUCGCAUUUUACAUUAUGGUCUAACAAUGGUGUUAUAUAUGUUUUAUUUUGUAUAUAUUGGGAAAUUGUUUAACAUGAUCAUACUAUACUGCAUCUAUAAUACUAGUCAAGAUAUACAUGUAUAUGCUGCACACAAAAAAGAAAGAAAUUAAUAGACAGAUGGAAGCAACAUUUAUUUCAUUUUCAAAUUUUCUUAACUAAUCAAUUAACUAUGUACACCCAAAGUUGUAUGUUCAAUAUGUAUGUAUAUUAUAUAACUCAACUUCAUCAUGAUUGUAUAUGUUCAAUCUGGGAAAGAUUGACACAAGCAAGAAACAUAUGUAUAUAUACACACACACACAUAAACAGACACAAGCAAGAUGUGUAUAUUUAAUAUAUAUAUAUAUAUAUAUGCACACAAGCAAGCUGUCGCAUCGGUGAUAAUAUGCAUAUGUAGCUUACACAUCGACCAUACAUAUACAGAGAGAUUUUUUACAUGUUUUUUUCUGGAUAUAUCUGCAAAUUUANNNN
rnacentral:lncRNA from 1 species